rnacentral:rRNA from 1 species
GACAGAGGGUGCAAGCGUUGUUCGGAAUUACUGGGCGUAAAGCGCGUGUAGGCUGUGCUGCAAGUCGGGUGUGAAAGCCCCGGGCUCAACCUGGGAAGUGCACUCGAAACUGCAGGACUCGAGUCCUGGAGAGGAAGGCGGAAUUCUCGGUGUAGAGGUGAAAUUCGUAGAUAUCGAGAGGAACACCGGUGGCGAAGGCGGCCUUCUGGACAGUGACUGACGCUGAGACGCGAAAGCGUGGGGAGCAAACAGG